UCAGAUGCGAAAGCGUGGGUAGCAAACAGGAUUAGAUACCCUGGUAGUCCACGCCGUAAACGCUGUCUACUUGGAGGUUGAGGUUUUAGACUUUGGCUUUCGGCGCUAACGCAUUAAGUAGACCGCCUGGGGAGUACGGCCGCAAGGUUAAAACUCAAAUGAAUUGACGGGGGCCCGCACAAGCGGUGGAGCAUGUGGUUUAAUUCGAUGCAACGCGAAGAACCUUACCUACUCUUGACAUCCAGCGAAGCCUUUAGAGAUAGAGGCGUGCCUUCGGGAGCGCUGAGACAGGUGCUGCAUGGCUGUCGUCAGCUCGUGUUGUGAAAUGUUGGGUUAAGUCCCGCAACGAGCGCAACCCUUAUCCUUGUUUGCCAGCACAUGAUGGUGGGAACUCCAGGGAGACUGCCGGUGAUAAACCGGAGGAAGGUGGGGACGACGUCAAGUCAUCAUGGCCCUUACGAGUAGGGCUACACACGUGCUACAAUGGCAGAUACAGAGGGCAGCGAGACAGCGAUGUUUAGCGAAUCCCUUAAAGUUUGUCGUAGUCCGGAUUGGAGUCUGCAACUCGACUCCAUGAAGUCGGAAUCGCUAGUAAUCGUGGAUCAGAAUGCCACGGUGAAUACGUUCCCGGGCCUUGUACACACCGCCC
rnacentral:rRNA from 1 species